rnacentral:rRNA from 1 species
ACGCACGCUGGCGGCGUGCCUAAUCCAUGCAAGUUGAGCGCUGAAGGUUGGUACUUGUACCAACUGGAUGAGCAGCGAACGGGUGAGUAACGCGUGGGGAAUCUGCCUUUGAGCGGGGGACAACAUUUGGAAACGAAUGCUAAUACCGCUUAAAAACUUUAAACACAAGUUUUAAGUUUGAAAGAUGCAAUUGCAUCACUCAAAGAUGAUCCCGCGUUGUAUUAGCUAGUUGGUGAGGUAAAGGCUCACCAAGGCGAUGAUACAUAGCCGACCUGAGAGGGUGAUCGGCCACAUUGGGACUGAGACACGGCCCAAACUCCUACGGGAGGCAGCAGUAGGGAAUCUUCGGCAAUGGACGAAAGUCUGACCGAGCAACGCCGCGUGAGUGAAGAAGGUUUUCGGAUCGUAAAACUCUGUUGGUAGAGAAGAACGUUGGUGAGAGUGGAAAGCUCAUCAAGUGACGGUAACUACCCAGAAAGGGACGGCUAACUACGG